AUGGCUCCUAAGGUGCAUACUGACCAAUGGCAACAUUGGGCGUGGGUAUAUUGGCAGCUCCGAGAGAGAUACGGGGAUGUAUUCACGGUGUACCUGGGGCCAAGGCCAGUGGUCAUGAUAUGCGGGACAGAGGCCAUUCGGGAGGCCUGGUGGACCAGGCUGAGGCCUUCUCUGGCCGAGGGAAAAUCGCUGUGUUGGAGCCAAUCUUCCAGGGAUAUGGUAAGGCCCUCAGAGACGCCGAGAGGGGAGCAGGGGUGGAGGAUGGGGAUUGGGAGGGUGUGUCUGGGAGGGGAGAAGAGGGGUUUAGGGGGACCCAGAGUCUGCUUCCAACUUCCUCUGCAUCCAAGCCUCCCCUCAACCCCCAGGCGUGGCCUUUUCCAACGGGGAACAUUGGAAGACCCUUUGGUGCUUCUCUCUGGCCACCAUGAGGGACUUCGGGAUGGGGAAUCAGAGCAUGGAGGAGCGGAUUCAGGAGGAGGCCCAGUGUCUGGUGGAGGAGCUGCGGAAAUCCCAGGGGAAGCGCAUUUUUCUUGGUGAAGGCAUCGCCCGAGCAGAGUUAUUCCUCUUCUUCACCACCAUCCUCCAGAACUUCUCCGUGGCCAGCCCCGUGGCCCCUGAGGACAUCGACCUCACACCCCGGGAGAGCGGGAUGGGCAGAGUGCCCCCAUCUACAAGAUCCAGUUCCUGCCCCGCCAAAGAAGCUGAGGGAAGGGGGUCCAGGGAUUCCAGGGUCAUGCAUGUCCCACCUCUGUGGAGAAGGGCCCCUUGACUCCUUCCCUCUCUUCUGCCUCUGAGAGACGUGCUAGAAGCCAUCAUCCUUCCCCUCCUGAGAUGCCUCCUUCGUGGGAAAGUCCUACCUGCAGCCUAACUUCCCUCCAUCCUUCUGUAGCUCUUUUGAAGUCUCAAAGAGGUGUUUUCCUUUCCCCUGUUAACAGAAUUCUGGAAGUAGUGUGUGUAGACAAUGAGACUAAGGAGUUGCCUGGUGUCUCAAUGGUUAGGGACCUAGCGUUGUCACUGCUGUGGCACAGGUUCACCCCCUGGCCCAGGAAUCUCCUCAUGCCUGUCUCCCUGGCUCUUGACUUUAAAUUCCCCACAGCUCCUACCCGCCUCCCCCACCUACAUUUUAAAGUUAAGAUGAAAUUCCCAUGGAAAGACUAACCAUUUUAGAUGUGUCAUGUCGUGGCAUUCAGUCCCUGCAUAUGAUGGGCCAUCGCCGUCUCCCUCUAGACCCAAACAUGCUCAUCAGCCAGAAGGAAACCCCAGACCCAUGAGCAGUCACUCCCCAUCUCCCUCCCCCAGCCCCUGGCCACACCAAACCCUUUCCUUCUCUGUGGAUUUGCCGAUUCCGCCCUUUUCACCUCAAUGGAGCGUACAGUGUGUGGUGGUUGCUGUCUGGCUUCUUUUGCGUCUCGUGAGGGUUUGGAGGCUCAUCUAUGUGGUCCACAGCCCAGUCCUCCCUCAUCCUCAUCUGACUCCCCCCACUUCCUCCCUCGAUGACAGACCUCAGCCCACCACCCCUGAGCAGUGCGCCUCUACCCUGGGCCCUUGGAGUCCCUGAUGUUCCCCUCCUGGUGCCCCAACUCAAAUAAACAUCUGAGACCUCGCCUCCA
ensembl:lncRNA